rnacentral:lncRNA from 1 species
AGGACUUAACUUAAUCUUGUUUGGCUAUUUGCUUCCUUAUAGUCAUAGCCUGCAAAUAAAUAGAAGAAAUAUAUCUCCAAACCUAGGUGCAGCCAUCUUCAACAUCUGGUUUUCUCAUGGAUCAUUCUACAUAAACCAAACCGAUUCUUCCACACCCCAUAGCCCUAAAAGAUUAAGGAGAAUAAGAAGAAGGAGCAAAUAAAUUAAAGAUAUAUAUAUAUAUGUGGAGAUCGAUGUAUGUGGCGAUGGAAGAAGUGUGCUGCUAUAUGAAGCACAAAGCAAUUAAGGUAUUGGCGUGCCUCAAUUUGAACACAUGAUUAUUAUCAAAACCAGCCAUGUAGUUUUAAUUGAGCCGCGUCAAUAUCUUAUUUUUUUUUCUUCACUUCUUUCCAUCUCCACCUAUACUUACUUAGCCAUCUCUCAAACUCAGGUAUGUAUUAUUUCAUGCUUCUUUUCUCUUUCCUUUAUAGAUAACUUUCUAUGUCCUUUAUCUUCUUCUACAACUUUGUUUCUCAGAAAUAUAUACAUGCAUUUUAUCCUGCUUAUGAUUCCCCCAUGGUUUUAAAAUACUAUUGUAGUUGUGAUUGUGUUGUAUGUAUCACAAAUGGUUGUGAAAAAAAUACGCUUCAUACACCAAUUGCAGUUGUGAAGAUCAGCUCCAACCAUAACGUUGUAGUCUCAAUUGCCACCGCCAACACAGAUAUAAAAUUAUUUCUUUGUACUUUUGUAGAAAAAUAAAUUAAGGAAUCAUGAAAUUAAAGGCAGUGCAGAAGGUGUACUUAUAUCAUAUGCAAACACUUUAGAGUAUAGUAAUAUAUAUUUUCCAACAAAUCAACUUACAAACCAUUAAUUUAGUUGUUUAUAUUAUUAAAUAUUAUAUAAUUGACCUUGCUAAUUAACUACAUUAUAUACUUGACCUCGUUAAUCAAAAUUAAGCAACCAAUACCCAACAGAACUACUACAAAAUGGAAAUCAUCUUGUUCUAUAAUCUUCUGUGACUUCAUGUAUUAUUUAUUACAUUUGAUUGUUGAACAAAAUAUAAUUUAAUGAGAAAAUAAUGUAUUUAUCCACAUAAAAGUCUUAAUAUUGUCAUUAUAUUAUUUAUCAUUUGUGUGUUAAUCAUCACCAACUCUUAAAUAACUUUAAUAUAUAAAUAAUUAAUUGUAUAUAAUGUAAAAUUUGUUUAUAAAAAUAUAUGGUGUCAAAGUGCAUAAAUUUUAUACUUUAUUUUCUUUAUAUUAAUUAUUAUGAAUUUAAUAUUUAUAUAUUAUUGGUUUAAAGUUUUUACAUGAUAAUAUAUCAUCUACCACUUAUAGUUGUAUUUUUACUUUUAUUUAAUAAUAAAAAAUGAUUAACACAUUAAUUGUAGAUAAUAUUUACUAUGUAAAAAUUUGUGACAUCUCCUGUAUAUAUACUAUUUUAGGUAUUUAUCUCUCUAUUAUUAUAGAGUAUUAUUAUAGAGUAUGUAAACCCUAAAGAGAACUUCUUGUGGACAAUAGAGUUCCUUCCUUAUGUAUAUGAUUUAAUUUAAUUUAGAGCUGUAGCUAUAUAAAGAUAGGAAGCAAAGGGAUACUGUCCUAAAGCGUUUAAGAAUUAUUGAGAUAUAAUUUCAUAUAGUUUAUAUGUAUGAUGUAUGUGUAUUAUACUGAAUUUUUAAUUAGCAGAUUAUUGGUGACGGCAGAUAUAUAAAGAGGGUAAGCAAAUCCCACGUAAGGCGUCCUGUCUUAAAAUACUUAUUAAUUAAAGUCCUUCCAUAUAUCUAUAUAUUAGCACGUCCAAAUCAAUUUAUGGACCAUAAAUAAUGUAUGCACAUUUAUAACUAUAAAAUUGUGUACCGGUUGAGGGUUGAGGACUAUUAUUACUAUUGAUGAUAUAUAUAUAUACUUGAAUAUCUUGUUUUUUUGUUGCGUGACAUAUAGAUAUAGGAGUAGAUGAUAUUUAAGUGUAAGAAGAAUAUAAUGAGAAUGAUAGAGAGUGGUACAGGGAGGGGUCACAACCGAAUUAAUGAAAGGAAUCCUUCAUUUUCAGGCUCUUGAGAAGCUAGCUAAGUUCUUCAAGGUGCAAACUCAAGUAGGGCCUAUUACCCUUUCCUUUUUCUUCUCAGUUUGCAUUCAUUUCCAUCAUAUAUUUCCACAUAUACGUCUAGAUAGGCC